AUUGAACGCUGGCGGCAGGCUUAACACAUGCAAGUCGAACGGAACCUUCGGGUUUAGUGGCGAACGGGUGAGUAAUACCUAGGAAUCUGCCUAUUAGUGGGGGAUAACGGCUCGAAAGGGUCGCUAAUACCGCAUACGUCCUACGGGAGAAAGAGGGGGAUCUUCGGACCUCUUGCUAAUAGAUGAGCCUAGGCCGGAUUAGCUAGUUGGUAGGGUAAAGGCCUACCAAGGCGACGAUCCGUAGCUGGUCUGAGAGGAUGAUCAGCCACACUGGAACUGAGACACGGUCCAGACUCCUACGGGAGGCAGCAGUGGGGAAUAUUGGACAAUGGGGGCAACCCUGAUCCAGCCAUGCCGCGUGUGUGAAGAAGGCCUCGGGUUGUAAGACGACUUAAGUACGAGGAGGAA
rnacentral:rRNA from 1 species